AGAAAGGAAGGGAAAGAAGCUUGAAAAUAAGAGAUUGGGGGAAGAAUCUCUCUAGUGUGACCCUAAGGCUGGGUUCCCAGAUUCUAAAAAAACAAAGUCUUGACCCUUAUUUGGGUUCUAUGAUAAAAUGCCCCCCAUUGAAAGUCAUUAGUUUACUGUGAGUACUCCAACCAGACAAUAUACCAUAAGCAGGAAAGUCAUUAAUUGUCCACAUGAGCAUGACCCUCAUCAUAAAGUUUUGUCUCCUUGAAAUAUAAUGUAUUAUGAAACUAGUCCACAACUUCUUCAACUCUUCUACCAAGGGCUCUAAGUAUGAAAACCUUUGGAUUGAAUGUCCCCGG
rnacentral:lncRNA from 1 species